rnacentral:rRNA from 1 species
GACGUAGGAUGCGAGCGUUGUCCGGAUUUAUUGGGCGUAAAGAGUUCGUAGGUGGUUCGUUAAGUCUGAUGUUAAAGACUGGGGCUCAACCCUGGGAGUGCAUUGGAUACUGGCGGACUGGAGUGCAGUAGAGGCAAGCGGAAUUCCCAGUGUAGCGGUGAAAUGCGUAGAUAUUGGGAAGAACACCGGUGGCGCAAGCGGCUUGCUGGGCUGCAACUGACGCUGAGGAACGAAAGCUAGGGGAGCAAAUGGG